UUUUCGGAGUUCAGUGGCGGACGGGUGAGUAACGCGUGAGAAUCUGGCUUCAGGUUCGGGACAACCACUGGAAACGGUGGCUAACACCGGAUGUGCCGAGAGGUAAAAAAUUAAUUGCCUGAAGAUGAGCUCGCGUCUGAUUAGCUAGUUGGUAGGGUAAGAGCCUACCAAGGCGUCGAUCAKUAACUGGUCUGAGAGGAUGACCAGUCACACKGGGACUGAGACACGGCCCAGACUCCUACGGGAGGCAGCAGUGGGGAAUUUUCCGCAAUGGGCGAAAGCCUGACGGAGCAAUACCGCGUGAGGGAGGAAGGCUCUUGGGUUG
rnacentral:rRNA from 1 species